rnacentral:tRNA from 1 species
GGGAUAUGGCUCAGUUUGUAGAGUGAUUUCCUUACAUGUACAAGGUCCUGGGUUCAAUCCCCCAUCCCA